rnacentral:lncRNA from 1 species
GUGUCACGCCCCGAGCCCGCCUCUUUGGUCGGAUUCGGGCACACCAACAGACCGCCGAACGGACAGGAUUUCCCCUGUACCGCGGACAGAGUCUCCCCUGUACGUUCAAGGCGUCGCAAUCAACACAAUGUACGAAGUUCCAACCAGGAACACAUUUCAACCAAAGAUUGCAUAAGGAAGUAUCAAAAACAUAAAUCUACUUGCUAUUACAAGCAUUCAUCUCACAUAUUACAUUUUACAUUCCACAUUACAUUCUUUUACAUUGAUCCUCAACUUCCGAUUAUACAAUCAAGUUCUUAACAUACUUAUUACAACAUUGUUCUUACAAUUAUCACAUUUUUGGUUCUUUGCAUUUUAUACCCCUAAGAAGCCGACUCAGGGUGCUGCUAUCUGGUCUCAGUGGUAGGGCGCUAACUACGGAGCUACGCCCUUUCCUCGCGCCGCCGCGCCGCUCGCGUGUGAACCUGUAAAACCCCGAAGCAACGUGGGGUGAGAACUAACUCCAUAGUUCCCAGUGGGUACGGCCACCCAAGGGAAGAGCUCGACCAUCAGGUCAAAGGAGGCAAACAACAUGUUAGUCCAAUAGAUAGAUAUGAAAUCAUAAAUCAUGCAACUAACAUUACCAUGCUUUUGCCUCACAACAUGCAAUAUGCAAAUUAUGCAACUCAUAUAGUAGAUUAAUUGCUUCUACACUUUACUCUUAUCCAUUCUUUACUUUUACUCAUUCUUUACUUUACUAGCUAUUCUUUAGCAUUAACCCUUCUUUAUUCUUUAUUACCUGUCAUUCUUUAGCAUUAGCCUUUUCUUAUUCUUGAUUCUUCAUUCUUUAUUCUUUACGCUUUUCUAAGGGUACUCACACCUUACUAAUAUUAUACACGUUAGCCUUUCUUUCCUAAGGUUACUUUACCUUAGCCAACUUUGCCAUCCGACUCGGUCUUGAGUCAAUCAACUGCGGAUAGUCCGCGCUCUGUCCGGCUCGAGGUGAAGGAACUCUCACAUACACCUCAGCCUUCAAUCACAAACCACAUCGCCCAACGGGUCGCCCAGAGCUGCGUACACCCGUGGUCAGGGAUCCCCCGG